rnacentral:rRNA from 1 species
UACAGUUUGAUCAUGGCUCAGAACGAACGCUGGCGGCGUGCCUAACACAUGCAAGUCGUACGGGAAAUCUGGAGCAAUNNNNAGAGUACAGUGGCGCACGGGUGAGUAACGCGUGGGUAACCUACCCUUGGGUUGGGGAUAACUCCUCGAAAGGGGUGCUAAUACCGGAUAACAUUUUGAUCUCCACGGGGAUUGAAAUCAAAGGUGGCCUCUGCAUGCAAGCUACUGCCCGGGGAUGGGCCCGCGUACCAUUAGCUAGUUGGUAGGGUAACGGCCUACCAAGGCUCCGAUGGUUAGCUGGUCUGAGAGGAUGGCCAGCCACACUGGAACUGAGACACGGUCCAGACUCCUACGGGAGGCAGCAGUGGGGAAUCUUGCGCAAUGGGGGAAACCCUGACGCAGCAACGCCGCGUGGGUGAUGAAGGCCUUCGGGUCGUAAAGCCCUGUCAGGUGGAAAGAAACCCACCGGUGCCAAUAGCACCGGUGAUUGACGGUACCACCGGAGGAAGCACCGGCUAACUCCGUGCCAGCAGCCGCGGUAAUACGGAGGGUGCUAGCGUUGUUCGGAAUUACUGGGCGUAAAGCGCGUGUAGGCGGUUGGGUAAGUCAGAUGUGAAAGCCCCCGGCUUAACUGGGGAACUGCAUUUGAAACUGCCUGGCUGGAGUUCGGGAGAGGAGAGUGGAAUUCCUGGUGUAGAGGUGAGAUUCGUAGAUAUCAGGAGGAACACCGGUGGCGAAGGCGGCUCUCUGGCCCGACACUGACGCUG